rnacentral:rRNA from 1 species
UACGUAGGGUGCAAGCGUUGUCCGGAAUUAUUGGGCGUAAAGAGCUCGUAGGCGGUUCGUCGCGUCGGCUGUGAAAUCCCGAGGCUCAACCUCGGGUCUGCAGUCGAUACGGGCGGACUGGAGUUCGGCAGGGGAGACUGGAAUUCCUGGUGUAGCGGUGAAAUGCGCAGAUAUCAGGAGGAACACCGUUGGCGAAGGCGGGUCUCUGGGCCGAUACUGACGCUGAGGAGCGAAAGCGUGGGGAGCAAACAGG